rnacentral:ncRNA from 2 species
ACGAAGAUGAUAGCGCCUGGGCUGCCUCUUCUAAGAGGACAGUUGACGCGGUGGAGGUUGGCGAAAGUUUCGGCGGAUGCCUCCCGGUGCUAAGCUGCGCCGCAAGUGAAGUCCGAAAACUGGCAGGUGACUGCGAGCACAAGGACGAGCAAGCUAA